rnacentral:rRNA from 1 species
CAGCAGCCGCGGUAAUACGAAGGGGGCUAGCGUUGCUCGGAAUUACUGGGCGUAAAGGGAGCGUAGGCGGACAUUUAAGUCAGGGGUGAAAUCCCAGAGCUCAACUCUGGAACUGCCCUUGAUACUGGGUGUCUUGAGUGUGAUAGAGGUAUGUGGAACUCCGAGUGUAGAGGUGAAAUUCGUAGAUAUUCGGAAGAACACCAGUGGCGAAGGCGACAUACUGGAUCAUUACUGACGCUGAGGCUCGAAAGCGUGGGGAGCAAACAGGAUUAGAUACCCCAGUAGUCCCUGUCUCUUAUAC